rnacentral:rRNA from 1 species
GAUGGCCUCGCGUCUGAUUAGCUAGUUGGUGGGGUAACGGCCUACCAAGGCGACGAUCAGUAGCCGGACUGAGAGGUUGACCGGCCACAUUGGGACUGAGACACGGCCCAAACUCCUACGGGAGGCAGCAGUAGGGAAUUUUCGUCAAUGGGGGGAACCCUGAACGAGCAAUGCCGCGUGAGUGAAGAAGGUCUUCGGAUCGUAAAGCUCUGUUGUAAGAGAAAAACGACAUUCAUAGGGAAUGAUGAGUGAGUGAUGGUAUCUUACCAGAAAGUCACGGCUAACUACGUGCCAGCAGCCGCGGUAAUACGUAGGUGGCGAGCGUUAUCCGGAAUGAUUGGGCGUAAAGGGUGCGUAGGUGGCAGAACAAGUCUGGAGUAAAAGGUAUGGGCUCAACCCGUACUGGCUCUGGAAACUGUUCAGCUAGAGAACAGAAGAGGACGGCGGAACUCCAUGUGUAGCGGUAAAAUGCGUAGAUAUAUGGAAGAACACCGGUGGCGAAGGCGGCCGUCUGGUCUGUUGCUGACACUGAAGCACGAAAGCGUGGGGAGCAAAUAGGAUUAGAUACCCUAGUAGUCCACGCCGUAAACGAUGAGAACUAGGUGUUGGGGGAAUAACUCAGUGCCGCAGUUAACGCAAUAAGUAAUCCACCUGGGGAGUACGACCGCAAGGUUGAAACUCAAAGGAAUUGACGGGGGCCCGCACAAGCAGUGGAGUAUGUGGAUUAAUUCGAAGCAACGCGAAGAACCUUACCAAGUCUUGACAUCCGCCUGACCGAUCCUUAACCGGAUCUUUCCUUCGGGACAGGCGAGACAGGUGGUGCAUGGUUGUCGUCAGCUCGUGUCGUGAGAUGUUGGGUUAAGUCCCGCAACGAGCGCAACCCCUAUCCUCAGUAGCCAGCAUUUAAGGUGGGCACUCUGGGGAGACUGCCAGGGAUAACCUGGAGGAAGGCGGGGAUGACGUCAAAUCAUCAUGCCCCUUAUGAUUUGGGCUACACACGUGCUACAAUGGCGUAAACAAAGGGAAGCGAGAUCGUGAGAUGGAGCAAAUCCCAAAAAUAACGUCCCAGUUCGGACUGUAGUCUGCAACCCGACUACACGAAGCUGGAAUCGCUAGUAGUCGCGGAUCAGAAUGCCGCGGUGAAUACGUUCCCGGGUCUUGCACUCACCGCCCGUCAA